rnacentral:rRNA from 1 species
UACGUAGGGGGCAAGCGUUGUCCGGAUUCAUUGGGCGUAAAGAGCUCGUAGGCGGCUUGGCAAGUCGGGUGUGAAAACUUCAGGCUCAACCUGGAGCGGCCACUCGAUACUGCCAUGGCUUGAGUCCGGUAGGGGACCACGGAAUUCCUGGUGUAGCGGUGAAAGUGCGCAGAUAUCAGGAGGAACACCGGUGGCGAAGGCGGUGGUCUGGGCCGGAACUGACGCUGAGGAGCGAAAGCGUGGGGAGCGAACAGG